rnacentral:rRNA from 1 species
GAUGAACGCUGGCGGCGUGCCUAAUACAUGCAAGUCGAGCGAACGGACGAGAAGCUUGCUUCUCUGCUGUUAGCGGCGGACGGGCGAGUAACACGUGGAUAACCUACCUAUAAGACUGGGAUAACUUCGGGAAACCGGAGCUACUACCGGAUAAUAUUUUCAACCGCUUGGUUCAAAAGUGCAUGACAGUUUUGCUGUCACUUAUAGCUGGAUCCGCGCUGCAUUAGCUAGUUGGUAAGGUAACGGCUUACCAAGGCAACGAUGCAUAGCCGACCUGAGAGGGUGAUCGGCCACACUGGAACUGAGACACGGUCCAGACUCCUACGGGAGGCAGCAGUAGGGAAUCUUCCGCAAUGGGCGAAAGCCUGACGGAGCAACGCCGCGUGGGUGAUGAAGGUCUUCGGAUCGUAAAACUCUGUUAUUAGGGAAGAACAUAUGUGUAAGUAACUGUGCACAUCUUGACGGUACCUAAUCAGAAAGCCACGGCUAACUACGUG